rnacentral:rRNA from 1 species
GACGAACGCUGGCGGCGCGCUUAACACAUGCAAGUCGAACGGAAAGGCCUGCUUUCCCUUGUGGAUUGCGGGUACUCGAGUGGCGAACGGGUGAGUAACACGUGAGUGAUCUGCCCCCAACUUGGGUAUAAGCCUGGGAAACUGGGUCUAAUGCCCGAUAGGACUGCAGGGUGGUGCCUGUGGUGGAAAACGAUUUUCUAGUGGUUGGGGAUGAGCUCGCGGCCUAUCAGCUUGUUGGUGGGGUAAUGGCCUACCAAGGCGGCGACGGGUAGCCGGCCUGGGAGGGUGGGCGGGCACAUGGGGACUGAGAUACGGCCAAGACGCCUACGGGAGGAAGCAGUGGGGAAUAUUGCGCAAGGGGCGGAAGCCUGAUGCAGCGACGCCGAGUGAGGGAUGACGGCCUUCGGGUGGUAAACUCCUUUCGACCGCGAGGAAGCCACCUGGUUGGAAGGGUGGUGACGGUAGUGGUAGAAGAAGCACCGGCUAACUACGUG